rnacentral:lncRNA from 1 species
UUUCAGAGGCAGCCGGUGCCGAGGAGGAAGGGCUCUGCCCAAGCGUGAGUCACCUGGGCUGUGAAACUCAGUCAAGACACAAGGGUCCCUGCAGAUUCAGCAGGAUUCAAAGGAAGCCACGGAGAAAAGCAGAGAAGACAGUGUGUCAAAACUGACAGAAAACCCCAUUACUGCAGCCCAGAGAACGGCAGGUGAGAGACAGAAAUAACAGCAACCACAUGGGCUAAAGCACUGUGCAUUAUCAAAGAAUUAGAACAUUCUAAAUGUUUUAAAAACAUUUCCUUCUUGUUUAAAAAUAUUUAGAGCUUUAAAAAUGU